GAUGAAGAACGUAGCGAAAUGCGAUACUUGGUGUGAAUUGCAGAAUCCCGUGAACCAUCGAGUCUUUGAACGCAAGUUGCGCCCGAAGCCUUUUGGCCGAGGGCACGUCUGCCUGGGCGUCACGCAUCGCGUCGCCCCCAACAAAUUCUCCGUCAGGGGAGCUUGUGUUUCGGGGGCGGAUACUGGUCUCCCGUGCUCAUGGCGCGGUUGGCCGAAAUAGGAGUCCCUUCGAUGGACGCACGAACUAGUGGUGGUCGUAAAAACCCUCGUCUUUUGUUUCGUGCCGUUAGUCGCGAGGGAAGCUCUUCAAAAACCCCAGCGCGUCGUCUCUUGACGGCGCUUCGACCGCGACCCCAGGUCAGGCGGGACUACCCGCUGAGUUUAAGCAUAUCAAUAAGCGGAGGA
rnacentral:misc_RNA from 1 species